AUGACAAUCCAAUGCAUAGAACCAAAACAUUUUGGGCCUGGUUCUUUCCCCAUGGACCAAAUGGUUUGGAAGGCCUGGGCGCCACCGAAAGUGAAGUUUUUUGCUUGGCUUGCGAUUCAGGACAGAAUUUGGACUGCCGACCGGUUGGCCAAGCGAGGGUGGCCAAAUUGCGGUCCUUGUCCAUUGUGCAAGGGCGUGCAGGAAUGUGGGCCACAUCUCCUCUUCAAGUGCCGCUACUCUCUGAGGCUCUGGAGGUUGGUCAUUCAGAGAUUUGGCAUUGAUGACAUGAGCACGACCUCAUGGCACUUGAUGGACUCAGUUGAGAGCUGGUGGGUGAGUACAUGCGACGUCGGCACUACGGACAGGAAGGCCAAGGCGUCGAUUACCAUGCUCGUGUCAUGGGUAAUCUGGAACGAGAGAAACGCAAGAGUAUUUCGGCACAAGAGCGCUCCUCCAUCAAUUCUGCUUAACUCCAUUGUGGCCGAAGCAAGCCUUUGGGUCACCGCCGGGGCAAAGAAGUUAAGGUCUUUUAUUUUGCGAGAGUAA
rnacentral:rRNA from 1 species